rnacentral:misc_RNA from 1 species
AAUUUGGAUGGUCUAAAAUCUAUAGCAGCUCACCGUUGCUUCUGCUAGCAAAGGUUUAGCUCUUGAUCUGGUAUUGGGCUUUAUAAUGGGCGAAAUGUAUAAAAGAGAAGCACAGGCAGCAAGUCACAGAGAAGGGAUCAGAUUGAAACAAGUGACGACCAAAGUUUAUAAUCUAACAGGCAAACAUCUUGUUUACAAAUUACAGUUUGGCAGAGGAACACUAAUCAACAUAAUACCCAAAACCUAACCUUUCUCUCAAACCACUUUGUUUCCCAAACGCACAAAAUGAAAAAGAAACCAAAAACACAAACAAUAACAUCUUUUCAGACUCAUCUCCAUCACCCAUGAGGAGGCGGUCCAAAUAUAAAGCCAGUUUUGGGGUUAGUGUUUGG